rnacentral:snRNA from 1 species
GUGCUUGCUUUGGCAGCACAUAUACUAAAACAGAAGAUUGGCAUAGCCCCUGUGCAAGAAUGGCAUGCAGAUUUGUGAGAUGCUCCAUAUUUUU